rnacentral:tRNA from 1 species
GUUCUUAAAGCUUUUAUGUUGAAGCGCUGGUUUUGUAAGCCAGAUAAACAUUGAUUUGUUAAGAACU